CGACUUGGAGGUUGUUCCCUUGAGGAGUGGCUUCCGGAGCUAACGCGUUAAGUCGACCGCCCGGGGAGUACGGCCGCAAGGUUAAAACUCAAAUGAAUUGACGGGGGCCCGCACAAGCGGUGGAGCAUGUGGUUUAAUUCGAUGCAACGCGAAGAACCUUACCUACUCUUGACAUCCAGAGAACUUUCCAGAGAUGGAUUGGUGCCUUCGGGAACUCUGAGACAGGUGCUGCAUGGCUGUCGUCAGCUCGUGUUGUGAAAUGUUGGGUUAAGUCCCGCAACGAGCGCAACCCUUAUCCUUUGUUGCCAGCGAUUCGGUCGGGAACUCAAAGGAGACUGCCGGUGAUAAACCGGAGGAAGGUGGGGAUGACGUCAAGUCAUCAUGGCCCUUACGAGUAGGGCUACACACGUGCUACAAUGGCGCAUACAAAGAGAAGCGACCUCGCGAGAGCAAGCGGACCUCACAAAGUGCGUCGUAGUCCGGAUCGGAGUCUGCAACUCGACUCCGUGAAGUCGGAAUCGCUAGUAAUCGUGGAUCAGAAUGCCACGGUGAAUACGUUCCCGGGCCUUGUACACACCGCCCGUCACACCAUGGGAGUGGGUUGCAAAAGAAGUAGGUAGCUUAACCUUCGGGAGGGCGCUUACCACUUUGUGAUUCAUGACUGGGGUGAAGUCGUAACAAGGUACC
rnacentral:rRNA from 1 species